UCUGAGCCUGGGUCAUGCGCGA
rnacentral:miRNA from 1 species